rnacentral:rRNA from 1 species
GACGAACGCUGGCGGCGUGCCUAAUACAUGCAAGUAGAACGCUGAAGGAGGAGCUUGCUUCUCUGGAUGAGUUGCGAACGGGUGAGUAACGCGUAGGUAACCUGCCUGGUAGCGGGGGAUAACUAUUGGAAACGAUAGCUAAUACCGCAUAAUAGUAGAUGUUGCAUGACAUUAGCUUAAAAGGUGCAAUUGCAUCACUACCAGAUGGACCUGCGUUGUAUUAGCUAGUUGGUGGGGUAACGGCUCACCAAGGCGACGAUACAUAGCCGACCUGGGAGGGUGAUCGGCCACACUGGGACUGAGACACGGCCCAGACUCCUACGGGAGGCAGCAGUAGGGAAUCUUCGGCAAUGGACGGAAGUCUGACCGAGCAACGCCGCGUGAGUGAAGAAGGUUUUCGGAUCGUAAAGCUCUGUUGUAAGAGAAGAACGAGUGUGAGAGUGGAAAGUUCACACUGUGACGGUAUCUUACCAGAAAGGGACGGCUAACUACGUG